UCCAUGCUCAUGAGGUGCUGUGUGAAAUGAUAUCCUCAGAAGUAGAGGUUUUUGUAGACAGCGGUGAUUUUGGUCUGCCGGCCACCAUGAAGCUUCACUAAGGAGAAGGAGCGCCCGACGAACACGGGAACGUGCACGAGUGAAACAAAGGAGUUUCCAGAAGGCAUACCACCAGCCUUGUUGAGUGCCAGUGCACCAGGAUAUUGCUGCUCGGAGCAUUGGAGUUGUGAGUUCAAUUCAACAGCAUCCAGAAAGAGUCUGUGCUCCAUGAAGACGUGUGUUUCCUCCGGUGCUCCGGCUUCCUCACACAUUCCAAAGUCAUAGCGGUUAGUAGGUUAACUGGUUAAAUUGUCCUGUGGGUUAAUUGGGUGAGGUGCGGGGCAGUGCAGCUUGUUGGCCCAGAAUAAACCAUCUACCAGCUCUGGAAAUGGAGAUCUGUGACGCUUGGAGAAUGUCAGAAGAAAUUAGUUCAAUACCUUCCUGCUCUCGAUCUCCUCACUGGCUUUCAGUUCCCUGGCCCUGACCAUGGAUGUCCAGUCCUUGUACACUUCUGUCACCCACCAAGACCUGAAAGGCCUCUGCUUCUCUCUCAGUAAAAGAACCAAACAGUUCCCCUUCACCUCCACCUGGCAG